rnacentral:lncRNA from 1 species
UGAAAUCAAAGAAGUGGUGUACGUCUUUGUUGUGUUAGAAGAUUGUAAGAUAGGUCUUAGUGUAAGGCUUGUACAAAGAUAUAACAUAAUGGAAAAUCCUUCAAGGUGUGAAAGGACUAGAUGUACCAUUGGUUGAUAAGGGGAACUAGUAUAAUUGCCUUGUGUUCUUUACUUUUAUGCAUUUUACUAUCCUAAAAAUAUAGCAUUCAAUAUCUUGCUUCUGGUAAAAUAACA